rnacentral:rRNA from 1 species
CCCUUAGAUGUUCGGGGCCGCACGUGCGCUACACUGAAGGAAUCAGCACGUCUUUCUCCUUGUCCGAAAGGACUGGGUAACCCGCUGAACCUCCUUCGUGCUAGGGAUUGGGGCUUGUAAUUCUUCCCCAUGAACGAGGAAUUCCCAGUAAGCGCGAGUCAUAAGCUCGCGUUGAUUACGUCCCUGCCCUUUGUACACACCGCCCGUCGCUACUACCGAUUGGAUGGUUUAGUGAGAUCCUCGGAUUGGUCCCGGAGCGGCCUCUGGUCGUGCCGGAGUGCCGAAAAGAAUGUCGAACUUGAUCAUCUAGAGGAAGUAAAAGUCGUAACA